GACGAACGCUGGCGGCGUGCCUAAUACAUGCAAGUAGAACGCUGAAGGAGGAGCUUGCUUCUCUGGAUGAGUUGCGAACGGGUGAGUAACGCGUAGGUAACCUGCCUGGUAGCGGGGGAUAACUAUUGGAAACGAUAGCUAAUACCGCAUAAGAGUAGAUGUUGCAUGACAUUUACUUAAAAGGUGCAAUUGCAUCACUACCAGAUGGACCUGCGUUGUAUUAGCUAGUUGGUGAGGUAACGGCUCACCAAGGCAACGAUACAUAGCCGACCUGAGAGGGUGAUCGGCCACACUGGGACUGAGACACGGCCCAGACUCCUACGGGAGGCAGCAGUAGGGAAUCUUCGGCAAUGGACGGAAGUCUGACCGAGCAACGCCGCGUGAGUGAAGAAGGUUUUCGGAUCGUAAAGCUCUGUUGUAAGAGAAGAACGAGUGUGAGAGUGGAAAGUUCACACUGCGACGGUAUCUUACCAGAAAGGGACGGCUAACUACGUG
rnacentral:rRNA from 1 species